CCUACGGGUGGCAGCAGUGAGGAAUAUUGGUCAAUGGACGCAAGUCUGAACCAGUCAAGUCGCGUGAAGGAAGACUGCCCUAUGGGUUGUAAACUUCUUUUAUAUGGGAAUAAAAUGUUCCACGUGUGGGGUUUUGUAUGUACCAUACGAAUAAGGAUCGGCUAACUCCGUGCCAGCAGCCGCGGUAAUACGGAGGAUUCGAGCGUUAUCCGGAUUUAUUGGGUUUAAAGGGUGCGUAGGUGGAUUGUUAAGUCAGUGGUGAAAGUCUGCGGCUCAACCGGAGAAUUGCAGUUGAAACUGGCAGGCUAGAGUAUAGUAGAGGUAGGCGGAAUGCGUGGUGUAGCGGUGAAAUGCUUAGAUAUCACGCAGAACACCGAUUGCGAAGGCAGCUCACUGGACUACAACUGACGCUGAGGCACGAAAGUGUGGGGAGCAAACAGGAUUAGAUACCCUUGUAGUC
rnacentral:rRNA from 1 species